rnacentral:rRNA from 1 species
AUUGAACGCUGGCGGCAGGCCUAACACAUGCAAGUCGAACGAGUGGCGGACGGGUGAGUAAUGUCUGGGAAACUGCCUGAUGGAGGGGGAUAACUACUGGACACGGUAUCUAAUAGCGCAUACCCGCGGAUGUGCCCAUAUGGGAUUAGCUAGUAGGUGGGGUAAAGGCUCACCUAGGCGACGAUCCCUAGCUGGUCUGAGAGGAUGACCAGCCACACUGGAACUGAGACACGGUCCAGACUCCUACGGGAGGCAGCAGUGGGGAAUAUUGCACAAUGGGCGCAAGCCUGAUGCAGCCAUGCCGCGUGUAUGAAGAAGGCCUUCGGGUUGUAAAGUACUUUCAGCGGGGAGGCGUUACCCGCAGAAGAAGCACCGGCUAACUCCGUGCCAGCAGCCGCGGUAAUUC